rnacentral:rRNA from 1 species
AACGAACGCUGGCGGCAUGCCUAACACAUGCAAGUCGAACGAGACCUUCGGGUCUAGUGGCGCACGGGUGCGUGACGCGUGGGAACCUGCCCUUAGGUUCGGAAUAACUCCCCGAAAGGGGUGCUAAUACCGGAUAAUGUCUUCGGACCAAAGAUUUAUCGCCCUUGGAUGGGCCCGCGUUGGAUUAGCUAGUUGGUAGGGUAAAAGCCUACCAAGGCGACGAUCAUAGCUGGUCUGAGAGGAUGAUCAGCCACACUGGGACUGAGACACGGCCCAGACUCCUACGGGAGGCAGCAGUGGGGAAUAUUGGACAAUGGGCGAAAGCCUGAUCCAGCAAUGCCGCGUGAGUGAUGAAGGCCUUAGGGUUGUAAAGCUCUUUUACCCGGGAUGAUAAUGACAGUACCGGGAGAAUAAGCUCCGGCUAACUCCGUG